rnacentral:lncRNA from 1 species
AUUCAGCAGAACACUAGAACAUAUCAGCUUUCUUACAAUUUUGCAAGCACGGGGAAUUUAUUCACUCGUGUUGCUAAAGGUAGAAAACACUUAUUAUUAGAGUCGUAAGUAAAAAUAUUGGAGCAAACUGGCUUAAACAAAAAGUAGGUGUAGAGAACAGUAGCAGCAGCAGCUCAAUGGAGUCUCCAGGAAUCUCAAAAUGUAAAUCUCCAUCAACCAGCAGUAUCAAUGGAACAUAAAAAAGAAUGAAAACACGUUUGAUGCCAAGGACUCCUUUCAAACUGGCUUAAACAAAAAGUAGGUGUAGAGAACAGUAGCAGCAGCAGCUCAAUGGAGUCUCCAGGAAUCUCAAAAUGUAAAUCUCCAUCAACCAGCAGUAUCAAUGGAACAUAAAAAAGAAUGAAAACACGUUUGAUGCCAAGGACUCCUUUCAUGUAAUGUGCCUCUGCAU